ACUCCUACGGGAGGCAGCAGUGGGAAUAUUGCACAAUGGGCGCAAGCCUGAUGCAGCCAUGCCGCGUGUGUGAAGAAGGCCUUCGGGUUGUAAAGCACUUUCAGUUGUGAGGAAAGGUGUGUACGUUAAUAGCGCAUCAUUUGACGUUAGCAACAGAAGAAAGCACCGGCUAACUCCGUGCCAGCAGCCGCGGUAAUACGGAGGGUGCGAGCGUUAAUCGGAAUUACUGGGCGUAAAAGCGCAUG
rnacentral:rRNA from 1 species